rnacentral:rRNA from 1 species
GAGUUUGAUCGUGGCUCAGAUUGAACGCUGGCGGCAUGCCUUACACAUGCAAGUCGAACGGCAGCGCGGGAGCAAUCCUGGCGGCGAGUGGCGAACGGGUGAGUAAUACAUCGGAACGUGCCCAAUCGUGGGGGAUAACGCAGCGAAAGCUGUGCUAAUACCGCAUACGAUCUACGGAUGAAAGCAGGGGACCGCAAGGCCUUGCGCGACUGGAGCGGCCGAUGGCAGAUUAGGUAGUUGGUGGGGUAAAGGCUCACCAAGCCGACGAUCUGUAGCUGGUCUGAGAGGACGACCAGCCACACUGGGACUGAGACACGGCCCAGACUCCUACGGGAGGCAGCAGUGGGGAAUUUUGGACAAUGGGCGCAAGCCUGAUCCAGCCAUGCCGCGUGCAGGAUGAAGGCC